CAUCUAUACCACUCUGAAUAUACCAGUUCUCGUCUGAUUACUGAAGUUAAGCAGCGUCGGGCGCAGUCAGUACUUGGAUGGGUGACUGCCUAGGCUUUUUUCGGUGUUG